rnacentral:rRNA from 1 species
GAUGAACGCUGGCGGCGUGCCUAAUACAUGCAAGUCGAGCGAACAGACGAGGAGCUUGCUCCUCUGACGUUAGCGGCGGACGGGUGAGUAACACGUGGAUAACCUACCUUUAAGACUGGGAUAACUUCGGGAAACCGGAGCUAAUACCGGAUAAUAUAUUGAACCGCAUGGUUCAAUAGUGAAAGACGGUUUUGCUGUCACUUAUAGAUGGAUCCGCGCCGCAUUAGCUAGUUGGUAAGGUAACGGCUUACCAAGGCGACGAUGCGUAGCCGACCUGAGAGGGUGAACGAGCACACUGGAACUGGGGAACGGUCCAGGAUCCUACGGGAAGCAACAGGAGGGAAUCUUCCGCAAUGGGCGGAAACCUGGCGGAGGAACGCCGCGGUAGUGAUGGAAGUCUUCGGAGCGGAAAACUCUGUUAGUAGGGAAAGACAAAUGUGAAAUUAACUAUGCGCUGCUUGACGGUACCUAAUCAGAUAGGCACGGCUAACUACGUU